rnacentral:rRNA from 1 species
AACGAACGCUGGCGGCGUGCCUAACACAUGCAAGUCGUGCGGGGAAAGUGGGGGGCAACCCCACUGAGUAGAGCGGCGCACGGGUGAGUAACACGUAGGUAACCUACCCGAAGGACUGGGAUAACCUGUCGAAAGAUGGGCUAAUACCCGAUAAGACCACGAAAGCCUCGGCUUUUGUUGGCGAAAAGGUAGGCCUCUGCUUGCAAGCUACUACCAACGGAUGGCCUGCGCGCCAUUAGCUAGNGGUUGAGGUAACGGCUCACCAAGGCGAAGAUGGCUAGCUGGU